rnacentral:rRNA from 1 species
GACGAACGCUGGCGGCGUGCUUAACACAUGCAAGUCGAACGGAAAGGCCCUGCUUUUGUGGGGUGCUCGAGUGGCGAACGGGUGAGUAACACGUGAGUAACCUGCCCCUGACUUUGGGAUAACUUCAGGAAACUGGGGCUAAUACCGGAUAGGAGCUCCUGCUGCAUGGUGGGGGUUGGAAAGUUUCGGCGGUUGGGGAUGGACUCGCGGCUUAUCAGCUUGUUGGUGGGGUAGUGGCUUACCAAGGCUUUGACGGGUAGCCGACCUGAGCGGGUGAGCGGCCACAUUGGGACUGAGAUACGGCCCAGACUCGAACGGGAGGCAGCGGUGGGGAAUAUUACACAAUAGGCGGGAGCCUGAUGCAGCAACGCCGCGUGCGGGAUGACGGCCUUCGGGUUGUGAACCGCUUUCGCCUUUGCCGAAGCGUUAGUGACGGUAAUGGGUAAAGAAGCACCGGCUAACUACGUG